rnacentral:rRNA from 1 species
AUUGAACGCUGGCGGCAGGCUUAACACAUGCAAGUCGAGCGAGCGGCGGACGGGUGAGUAAUGUAUGGGGACUGCCCGAUUGAGGGGGAUAACUACUGGAAACGGUAGCUAAUACCGCAUACUAUCGGAUAAUCCAUAUGGGAUUAGCUAGUAGGUGAGGUAAUGGCUCACCUAGGCGACGAUCCCUAGCGGGUCUGAGAGGAUGAUCAGCCACAGUGGAACUGAGACACGGCCCGAACUCCUACGGAGGCAGCAGGGGGAAUUAUUGCAAAAGGGGCAAAGGCCUGAUGCGGAAAUGCCGCGUGUAUGAAGAGGGCCCUGGGGUGGUAAGGUACGUUCAGUCGGGAGGCGUUACCGGAAGAGGAAGCACCGGCUAACUCCGUGCCAGCAGCCGCGGUAAUAC